CAGCGCAGGCGCGGAGCCUCCGCUCACAGCCCCGCCGCCAUCUUGGACGGAGCGCCGAGCGCCGCGCCGCUGCGCACGGCCCCAGGCGGAGGGGCCGGGGCCGCCAUUUUGAGCCAGGAGCUCUGGUCUCAGUGACUGGGUUCAAGGCCUCUGCGUGCAGCAGCCUGUGAGCCAGUGACACCAGAGGAAGCAUAAAGGGAUGACAAAAAAGAUGAGCUUAUCGACAAAGGUGUGGAUCCAUGGAACACAUGAGGAGAUCAAACUCAAAGCCAUGUUGAACUGCAGCUAUGACUCUCCGUGGUUACCCACUUGGCUAUCUGGUUCCCAGACCAGGGAUGGAACAUGCACCCCCUGCAGUGGAAGCAUGGAUCUUAACCACUAGACCACCAGGGAAAUCCUGACUCCCAUACUUGGAUGCAGCCAGCAUGGAACAGAAGUAGCCUAUCUCUGAACCAGUGAUGCUCUGCUCAUCCGGAAACCUGCGAUGGAGCCAUAAAGGUGUCGGUGCUGCUCAGAACACAGGGACACGUGGGGAAGACGCUGUUCCCAGAGGGAAAGUGAGUGCUGCUGCCAGGACACGGAAGAACUCAGGCCGUGAACCCGAAACCUGGUAAACGUGCAGCCUAGAUCCUGUCAGGGUAGAUGUUUCAGAUGCAGUUUAUUAAAAUGAAAGCUAAAAAAAAAAAAAGACAAGACUGGAAAACAGGAAGUGAUUGGUGCACAGCAGCACACAACAGCUGGCACCAGUAUCUACUUUAUUAGGCCCGUCCAGAGCGUUCAAUAAGAAAACACUGGGCUAACGCUGGUGUCAGUUAAGAAUUACUUUGGUUCGGGGGUGAUGAAGAUGUUUUGAAACUAGACAGAGGUGGUCGUUGCACAACAUUGUGAAUGUGCUAAAUUUCCCUGAAUUGAAUUCACUUUAAAGUGGUUAUAUGGAUUUCACCUCAGUAUUUUAAAAGAAUACUUUGGGCUGCAAAUAAGAGAAAGCCCUAAGCUACUGACCUUAAAAAGUAGAGAUUUCUUCAUCUCAUACAACAGGAAGUCCAGAGGUUUAUAGACCAGAGCUGGUCAACCAAGCCCUCAGGCCUUCCUUCUUUCUGCUUCAUCACUCUUGGCAUAAGGCAGUGAUCCCCAUGGUCACAAGGCGACUGCUUCUGCUCCAGGCCUCACAUCUGUAUUCCAGGUGAGAAGAAUAAAAAUGGCAGAGGGACAAAAGGGGGAAGGUCGGAAAGAAAACUGAAGUUUAACAGAAAGGCCGGUUUAGUCUUCCCCACGAGAACUGUGCUAGUGUCCGCCCCUGGUGGCGCGGGAGGUGGGAGAACAGCGCGUUUGUUUAUGUGGACACCCUGAGCGCCGAGGCAGAGUCGGAGUCUGCUGACAAGGAAGAAACAAGAACAGAGGUUAGAGAGACAACGAAGAUUGCCUUCCAGUGCCCACAACGAAGUAGGGCUUCCACAGAUGUCAGUGGACACAAAAGGAGCAGGGUGUGGUGCUGAAAUUCUGAAGACAAAAGACACAGUCCUCUGUGCCAUCACCUCUGAAAGCUACUGAUUUCUAAGUGUGAGAUUAAUUAGGCUUAUUUUUGGUAUUAAAUACAAGUUGAUUGAAUAGGAGAGCAAUGAAAAGGUAAGCAAAAGAGACCAAUAAUCCUCUUAGACCAAUCAUUUGCCUUUUUUCUUGUCUUUUCUUUUUUUCGUUUUCAUUUGAAUGAACUGCAUGCAUCUGAAACAGCUACCCUAACAGAAUCUGGGAUGCAAGUUUACCAGAUUCCAGGUUCACUGCCUUCACAUCCCCCGCAAAGAAUCUCUCUGUAAAAGCUUGAUUUUUGAAUCCCGGUACCUCUGUGUGUCUUGUGUUCACGCAGGACGUUAAUGUACUGAGGAUGACUUCUCUUUCGAGGUACAAUGAAAACAUGAGAAAUGGUUUUAAUAAAGAGGGUUUGAGAGAGGUCUCGGGGGGAGCAGAGGAGGGACUUGGUUUACAUCUGCACACUGAAAGGGCAGCAGAGGGCUUCUCCCGGGGUCCAGUGGUGGGCAGUCCGCCUGCCAACGCAGGUGACACGGGCUCGGCCCCUGGUCCAGGGAUACCCCACGUGCCUCAGGGCAGCUCAACCCGUGCGCCACAGCUUCUGAAGCCCACGCACCUGGAGCCCAUGCUCUGCAACAAGAGAAGCCCCUGCAACGAGAAGCCCGCACACGGCAAGGAGGAGCAGCUCCCUCCCCGCCCCCGCCCCCCACCGCAACCAGAGAAAGCCUGCAGCAGCGAAGACCCAGUGCCGCGGAAGAAAAAGACAGCAGAGAACACACGCAGAACCCAUCACUGCUCUCAUCGUGGAAUCUGUGUCGCUGGAUUGUCAAUGUUUAGCUAACUAUAAAAGACACUUGCUGUUGUAUGACUAAAUGUCAUUUACAUACCGUAAGCAUUACACUCCGUUUGAACAGAAACUUCAUUCUCUAAUGAAAUAUGUUUCAGUUUUUUUCCUCGUGAAAAAUAA